AGAGUUUGAUCCUGGCUCAGGACGAACGCUGGCGGCAUGCCUAAUACAUGCAAGUCGAACGAGGUCCAUUCGGUGGCAACACUGAUGAAGACCUAGUGGCGAACGGGUGCGUAACACGUGAGCAACCUGCCCCGGAGACCGGGAUAACAGUGGGAAACUACUGCUAAUACCGGAUGUCCCCACGAUCUCGCAUGGGAUUGUGAGGAAAAGGAUUCUGCUCCGGGAGGGGCUCGCGGCCUAUCAGCUUGUUGGUGGGGUAACGGCCUACCAAGGCGACGACGGGUAGCUGGUCUGAGAGGACGAUCAGCCACACUGGGACUGAGACACGGCCCAGACUCCUACGGGAGGCAGCAGUAGGGAAUCUUGCGCAAUGGGCGAAAGCCUGACGCAGCAAUGCCGCGUGGGGGAUGAGGGCCUUCGGGUUGUAAACUCCUUUUAGUGGGAACGAAAUUGACGGUACCCACAGAAAAAGCCCCGGCUAACUACGUGCCAGCAGCCGCGGUGAUACGUAGGGGGCAAGCGUUGUCCGGAUUCACUGGGCGUAAAGAGCUCGUAGGUGGCUUGGUAAGUCGGGUGUGAAACCUCCAGGCUCAACCUGGAGUCGCCACUCGAUACUGUCAUGGCUAGAGUCCGGUAGGGGACCAUGGAAUUCCUGGUGUAGCGGUGAAAUGCGCAGAUAUCAGGAGGAACACCAGUAGCGAAGGCGGUGGUCUGGGCCGGUACUGACACUGAGGAGCGAAAGCGUGGGGAGCGAACAGGAUUAGAUACCCUGGUAGUCCACGCCGUAAACGUUGGGCACUAGGUGUGGGUCCCUAUCGACGGGAUCCGUGCCGCAGCUAACGCAUUAAGUGCCCCGCCUGGGGAGUACGGCCGCAAGGCUAAACUCAAAGGAAUUGACGGGGGCCCGCACAAGCGGCGGAGCAUGUGGCUUAAUUCGAAGCAACGCGAAGAACCUUACCUGGGCUUGACAUGUGGGUUAAGGCGUGGAGACACG
rnacentral:rRNA from 1 species